UACGAAGGGGGCUAGCGUUGUUCGGAAUCACUGGGCGUAAAGCGCACGUAGGCGGACUUUCAAGUCAGGGGUGAAAUCCCGGGGCUCAACCUCGGAAUUGCCUUUGAUACUGUAGGUCUCGAGUCCGGAAGAGGUGGGUGGAAUUCCUAGUGUAGAGGUGAAAUUCGUAGAUAUUAGGAAGAACACCAGUGGCGAAGGCGGCUCACUGGCCCGGUACUGACGCUCAUGUGCGAAAGCGUGGGGAGCAAACAGG
rnacentral:rRNA from 1 species